rnacentral:rRNA from 1 species
UGGGGAAUUUUGGACAAUGGGCGAAAGCCUGAUCCAGCAAUGCCGCGUGUGUGAAGAAGGCCUUCGGGUUGUAAAGCACUUUUGUCCGGAAAGAAAUCCUUGGCUCUAAUACAGUCGGGGGAUGACGGUACCGGAAGAAUAAGCACCGGCUAACUACGUGCCAGCAGCCGCGGUAAUACGUAGGGUGCAAGCGUUAAUCGGAAUUACUGGGCGUAAAGCGUGCGCAGGCGGUUUGCUAAGACCGAUGUGAAAUCCCCGGGCUCAACCUGGGAACUGCAUUGGUGACUGGCAGGCUAGAGUAUGGCAGAGGGGGGUAGAAUUCCACGUGUAGCAGUGAAAUGCGUAGAGAUGUGGAGGAAUACCGAUGGCGAAGGCAGCCCCUGGGCCAAUACUGACGCUCAUGCACGAAAGCGUGGGGAGCAAACAGGAUUAGAUACCCUGGUAGUCCACGCCCUAAACGAUGUCAACUAGUUGUUGGGGAUUCAUUUCCUUAGUAACGUAGCUAACGCGUGAAGUUGACCGCCUGGGGAGUACGGUCGCAAGAUUAAAACUUAAAUGAAUUGACGGGGUCAUAGCUGUUUCCU